AGGAAUUUAACUUAAUUAAAGUUUUUCGCUUACACCGAAACUAUGUCUGUUGAACUCAGGCAAUUCCUA
rnacentral:tRNA from 1 species